rnacentral:rRNA from 1 species
UACGAAGGGGGCUAGCGUUGCUCGGAAUCACUGGGCGUAAAGCGCACGUAGGCGGACUUUUAAGUCAGGGGUGAAAUCCUGGAGCUCAACUCCAGAACUGCCUUUGAUACUGGAAGUCUUGAGUCCGGAAGAGGUAAGUGGAACUGCGAGUGUAGAGGUGAAAUUCGUAGAUAUUCGCAAGAACACCAGUGGCGAAGGCGGCUCACUGGCCCGGUACUGACGCUGAGGUGCGAAAGCGUGGGGAGCAAACAGG